rnacentral:rRNA from 1 species
AAUUUUGGACAAUGGGGGAAACUCUGAUCCAGCCAUCCCGCGGGCAUGCUGAAGGCCUUCGGGUUGUAAAGUACUUUUGGCAGAGAAGAAAAGUUACCCCCUAAUACGAGGUACUGCUGACGGUAUCUGCAGAAUAAGCACCGGCUAACUACGCGCCAGCAGCCUGGGUAAUACGUAGGGUGCAAGCGUUAAUCGGAAUUACUGGGCGUAAAGCGUGUGUAGGCGGUUCGGAAAGAAAGAUGUGAAAUCCCAGGGCUCAACCUUGGAACUGCAUUUUUAACUGCCGAGCUAGAGUAUGUCAGAGGGGGGUAGAAUUCAACGUGUAGCAGUGAAAUGCGUAGAUAUGUGGAGGAAUACCGAUGGCGAAGGCAGCCCCCUGGGAUAAUACUGACGCUCAGACACGAAAGCGUGGGGAGCAAACA